CCUACGUGAGGCAGCAGUGAGGAAUAUUUGUCACUGGACGAGAGUCUGAACCAGCCAAGUAGCGUGACGGAUGACUGCCCUAUGGGUUGUACACUUCUUUUAUAUGGGACUAAAACAUUCUAAGUGUGCCCUUUUGUAUGUACCAUAUAAAUAAGGAUCGGCUAACUCCGUGCCAGCAGCCGCGGUAAUACGGAGGAUCCGAGCGUUAUCCGGAUUUAUUGGGUUUAAAGGGAGCGUAGGUGGAUUGUUAAGUCAGUUGUGAAAGUUUGCGGCUCAACCGUAAAAUUGCAGUUGAAAAUGGCAGUCUUGAGUACAGUAGAGGUGGGCGGAAUUCGUGGUGUAGCGGUGAAAUGCUUAGAUAUCACGAAGAACUCCGAUUGCGAAGGCAGUUCACUGGACUGCAACUGACACUGAUGCUCGAAAGUGUGGGUAUCAAACAGGAUUAGAUACCCUUGUAGUC
rnacentral:rRNA from 1 species